rnacentral:misc_RNA from 1 species
UGGUUCUGGCAUCGAUGAAGAACGCAGCGAAAUGCGAUAAGUAAUGUGAAUUGCAGAAUUUUGUGAAUCAUCGAAUCUUUGAACGCACAUUGCACCUUUUGGUAUUCCGAAAGGUAUGCCUGUUCGAGCGUCGUUUGAAUAUAUUAUUAAUUUAUUUGUUCACACUCAUAAAUUGAUGUCUUGGAGUAUAUUUGUUUAGACAAAUAUCUCCCAAAAGAAUUGAUAGCGAUCUGGAAUAAGAUUUAUAUUGAAACGCAUUAAAUUUAUUCGUUUGCAAAUAAGAUCUAUAUCCAGGCAGCCAAAUUAAAAUAAAUAAAAUAAUUAAUUAAAUAGAAUAGUUGCUAAUAGCAUCAUUUUAUUUAUUUUAAUUAUUUUAUUUACCUCCAAUAAAUCGACCUCGGAUCAAGCAAGAAUACCCGCUGA